rnacentral:lncRNA from 1 species
UCAACCUUCUGGGAUACAGAGUGGAUGGGGAAGAAGAGUUGAUCUGGAAGGAUAAAGGUACCAGCAUGUUAUGAAGAAUAAGCAAGAAGAAAGAGAAGGAGAAGAAGCAGGAGGAGGAGGAGAGAAGGAAAGGGAGGAGGAGGAGGAGAAAAAGAUGGUGGUAGAGGAGGAGGAGAAGAAGAAGAAGGAGGAGAAGGAGAAGGAGAAGAAGGAGCAGGAGGAGGAGGAAGAAGAAGAAGAGGAGAAGGGAACUCACAUGCUACCUGUGUGAGUCACAUGUCAGUGCAAUUUCUGGAGGUCAAUUGUAGCCCUGAAGUCUCAGAACAAUGGCAAAAAGAAAUACGGAGGGCAUGAUACAUUUGGCAGACUAAAAUUCUCAAGAUUCCUAUGCAGUCGAGUUUUACCAUAUGACUGAGUUCCAACAAAGAAAUAUGAGUAGAAGAUUGUAUAAGCAUCAUUUUUGACCCAGGGCUUUAAGAAGCAGGACCAUUUGGAAGCAAGUCACUACGCAUAAUUCACAAUUGAGUAAUAAAGAUUUAUGCUUCACCUCUUUGAAGACUAUGGAAAUGAUGUUAGACAAAAAGCAAAUUUGAGCAAUUUUGUUAUUCGGGUUCAAAAUGGGUCGUAAAGCAGCAGAGACAACUCUCAAAACAUCAGCAACACAUUUGGCGCGGGAACUGCUAAUGAACGUACAGUGGAGUGGUGGUUCAAGAAGUUUUGCGAAGGAAACGAGAGGCUUGAAGACGAAGAGUGUAGUGGCCAGCCAUUGGAAGUAGACAACGACAAAUUGAGAGCAAUCAUUGAAGCUGAUCCUCUUACAACUACAGGAGAAGUUGCCAAGGAACUCACCAUCAAUCAUUCUAUAGUAGUUUGGCAUUUGAAGCAGAUCGGAAAGGUGAAAAAGCUUGAUAAGUGAAUGCCUCAUGAACAGAGCAAAAAUUUUAAAACAUUGUUGUUUUGAAGUGACGUCUUCUCUUAUUUUACACAACAAUGAACCAUUUCUGGAUCGAAUUAUGACAUGUGAUGAAAAGUGGAUUUUAUAUGACAAGCUGCAAAAACCAGCUCAGUGGUUGGAUGGAGAAGAAGCUUCAAAGCACUUCCCAAAGCUGAACUUGCACCAACAAAAGCUCAUGGUCACAAUUUGGUGGUCUGCCGCCAGCCUGAUCUACUACAGCUUUCGGAAUCCCAGCGAAACCAUUAUGUCUGAGAAAUAUGCUCAGCAAAUCGAUGAGAUGUGCCAAAAACUUCAAGGCCUGCAGCCGGCAUUGGUCAACCAAAAGGAUCCAAUUCUUCUCUACCACAACGCCUGACCACAUGUCACAUAACCAACCCUUCAAAAGUUGAAUAAAUUGGUCUACAAAAUUGCCUUAUCUGCCAUAUUCACCUGACCUCUCACCAACCAACUACCACUUCUUCAGGUAUUUCGACAAUUUUUUGCAGGGAAAUUGUUUCUACAACCAGCAGGAUGCAGAAAAUGCUUUCCAAGAGUUCACUGAAUCCCAAAACAUGGAUUUUUAUGCCAUGGGAGUAAGCAAACUUAUUUCUUGUUGGCAAAAAUGUGUUGAUUGUAAUGGUGUCUAUUUUGAUUAAUAUAGAUGUGUUUGAGCCUAGCUAUAACAAUUUAAAAUUCACAAUCCAAAACCACAAUUAUUUUUGUAUCAACCUAAUACUAUAGAUUUAACAAUAUUAAAUUACAAAGCCUUUUAAUUCAAAAUAACAGGCAUAUGUCUUUUGGGUGAACAGUAAAACAGUAUAUAUAUAUAUAUAUAUAUAUAUAUAUAUAUAUAUAUAUAUAUAUACACACACACACACACAUAUAUAAAACAUAUAUACUGACCAUACGUAUACACACGUGUGAGUGUGUGUUUGUGUAAACUCCAUGCUUGAUGGACGGAUGGAAUAGAUCUGUGAGCAACAAAACCACAGUUACUCAGGAAUUCUUGACUUAAAAGUCAGCAGCAUCAGUGCUAGAUGAAUGCCAUAUAUACAUGAAUAGAAUCCAAAAACCUAUCAGCCUAACUCCAAAUUUUAAUAACUUCCUCAGUGUCCUCCCAGCACUUAGUAAUAGGGCCAGUAUUGUUUAAAUACUAUCAUUUUUUCAUCGAUUAUUUAAGUUUCUUGUCUGUUCACAGAUACAGUAUUUGAAGAUUCCAAAUUCCUCAAUAAAAUUAAAUUGUUUAUUUUCAUUAGCAAAGCAAAGUUCUGACAAAAUAUUUGAUGCCUUAUUUGAGGUGUUAGGAAAACGACUGGAAUUAGAUCAAUGGUGUUUUUUAUAAAGCAAAACCUGCUAUAAAUAUAGAUUAGAUUUGCAACCAGAUUUCAUUAACUUAUCAAAGGAGCAGUGGGUCAGCAAUUUCGAGACAUUUUCCUUCAGAACUCUUGUCACAUUCCAGAAUUUCUCAGAAUGAUUUUGGUAUUUAUAUGGGAAUUUCGAAAGAAACUUCAAAAGAAAGUAUGUGACUAAUUCUACAUGCCUGCAUUUUGUUACCUAAAUUCUGGAGAGGGACAUGUAAUGUCAGAUGACGACAUCUCUACCCUCCUUGCCACCUAGGUACAAAACCUCAGUCAUCCCUAUACAUUCUUCUCUUUCUUACUUUUCAACCACUUGACAUCUAAGUAUAUAUGUAUGGUUGUUAUCCCUAAAAUAAUAGCCAAAGUUGUCCUGCAUUGAAUUUGUAAACCAAUCUGAGAAUAACUGAAAUCUUUAUAAAGUCUUCCAAUCCAUGAAGAUGAUUUAUUCCUCCAUAUAUUUGAGUUCUUUUAAAUAUCAUUCAUAAAGUUUGUUGUUUUACAGGUUUAUUCCAUGGUACUUGGUAUUUUAUUUUGCACAUUUUUGUGAUGCUGCUAUAUUUUGCCUGCAACUAACCAAUGGAAAUUACUUAAAAUCCUUCACCAAACCUUUCACUUAGGCAUUGAUAGCACCCAUCAGAUGGACAAAUUAUUAUUUGUUGGACCAGGCCUUUUCAAAACUAUCAAGCAGAUAGUCAGGUCCUGUGAAGUGUGCCAAAGAAAUAAUCCCCUGUAUGCAGGCCAUACAUUUCAAUCUCUGUAUCUUUAACCUCCUUGUUAAGUUUGUCUCUUCCAGAAUCAAAGCUAUAAAACUACAAAUGGUUCUCCAAAUGGAGCCCCAGAUGCAGUCCAUGACUAAGAUCUACUGCGGACCUCUGGACCGGCCUGCUAGCCCAGCUCCCACAUUAAUGACAUCAAAGGCACCCCUCCCGAGGAAAUCUCAACUGCAUGACACCUACUACGCCCCAAUUCAGCAGGAAGCAGUUAGAGUGGUCGUUGGCCAACCUCCCCAACAGCACUUGGGUUUUCUGUUGAGAUGGGGGACUGAGAGACAGGACUAGCUGGAUUUCCUAGGCCAACUAAGAAUCCCUAAGCCUAGCUGGGAAGGUGACUACACCCACCUUUAACCACUAGGCUUGCAACUUAGCUCACACCCGACCAAUCAGGUAGUAAAGAGAGCUUGCUAAAAUGCUAAUUAGGCAAAAACAGGAGGUAAAGAAAUAGCCAGUCAUCUAUCGCCUGACAGCACAAGGGGCGGGACAAUGAUCAGGAUAUAAACUCAGGCAUUCAAGCCAGCAAUGGCUACCCACUUUGGGUCCCCUCCCAUUUUAUGGGAGCUCUGUUUUCACUCUAUUAAAUCUUUCAACUACCAAAAAAAAAAAAAAAGAAAAGAAAAACAAUUAACUUUUUUAUAUAUCAGUUAAAUUCAUCCAUGAUGUUUUUUAUGUUUUCUGUAUUCUUACUGGUCAUUUUUCUAUUUGUUCUAUCAAGUAUCCAGGAAUAUGUGUUAAAGAUGUCCACUUCAAUUGUGAAUUUCUUGAGUUGUUCUUUCAGUUUUGUUCUUUUUUUACCUUAUGCAUUUUGAAGUUGUAUUAUUUCCUGCAUACAAAUGUAGAAUUGUGGUGUCAUUCUUUUGGAGUAAACCAUGAUCAUUACUGGCAUGACUUACUUACUUACUAUCUAUCUAGACAUGUUGAUUGCUUCAAUUUCUACUUUAAUCUUAAUAAAAAUACACCAACUUUUUAAAAAGUAUUACGUCUUGUAUUUCUUUCUGUUUGACUUUAUUAUUACAUAUGCUUUUUUCUCUUCAUUUGCCAGAGUCUUUGAUUGAUCAACAAGCUGUUUUAAUCUACCAUUUUUUAUCUCUAACAUUUUAUGUAGAGCUUCUCUUACUUUUUAGUUAUUCAAAAGAUGCAUCUUUCAAUUAUUCUAGUCUUAAACGUAAAGAUGACUUUUUUCAUUUACUGACAAUGUCAGUAAUCCAAAACUUUUCUAUUUAACUCCUUCUACCUUUUAUGUUAUUGUUGUCCUGAAUUUCAUUCUACAUGAGUUGAAACCUCAUAAGGGAUUGUUGUUGUUUUUAUGCAAACAUUUACUUAUAUUUACCCACAUAUGUACAGUUUUCUUAUUGCUCUCUAUGCAUUCUUACAAUUUUCUACUUUUAUAUCUGUCAUCAUUUCCUUCUCUCUAUUAGUAUUUCUUUUUAUUCAUAUAUUUUAGCAAAACGUUUUCUCAGUAUUUGUUGUCCAAAGUGUCUUACAUGGUUUUUUUUUAUGAUGUUCAGAAACUGAGAUUACUCAACAUUUGGCUACAUUUCGGGGGUAAGAGUCUGAAUUGGAUUCACCCUGCUUCCACAGUGUAGUCUUCUAGGUAUCCGACUGAAAAUCAGUAGUUGCUCUUGACUCUUUUGUAAAUGAACGAAAAUACACACACACACACACACACACACACACACACACACACACACAAAUGUUAUAAGAUUUUUGGAAGUUUUUCCCAGAUAGGUAGUUAAAUAAUAAACAUAAUUUAAAUUGUUUAGAACAAAACAUAGCUCAAAUGAUUUAUAGUAUUUAUGGUAUUACCAUAUUAAAAUGUGUGAAAUUGUAUAUCUUUAUUGAAAAUUUAAUUGUACAUAUUUAUUGAAAGCUAAAGCUUCUAAUAAA